rnacentral:rRNA from 1 species
AUUGAACGCUGGCGGCAGGCUUAACACAUGCAAGUCGAGCGGAGCGAGGGUGCUUGCACCUUAGCUUAGCGGCGGACGGGUGAGUAAUGCUUAGGAAUCUGCCUAUUAGUGGGGGACAACAUUCCGAAAGGAAUGCUAAUACCGCAUAAGCCCUACGGGGGAAAGCAGGGGAUCUUCGGACCUUGCGCUAAUAGAUGAGCCUAAGUCGGAUUAGCUGGUUGGUGGGGUAAAGGCCUACCAAGGCGACGAUCUGUAGCGGGUCUGAGAGGAUGAUCCGCCACACUGGGACUGAGACACGGCCCAGACUCCUACGGGAGGCAGCAGUGGGGAAUGUUGGACAAUGGGCGGAAGCCUGAUCCAGCCAUGCCGCGUGUGUGAAGAAGGCCUUUUGGUUGUAAAGCACUUUAAGCGAGGAGGGGGCUACUUAGAUUAAUACUCUGGGAUAGUGGACGUUACUCGCAGAAUAAGCACCGGCUAACUCUGUGCCAGCAGCCGCCGUAAAAC